rnacentral:rRNA from 1 species
UAGGGAAUCUUCCACAAUGGGCGAAAGCCUGAUGGAGCAACGCCGCGUGUGUGAUGAAGGGUUUCGGCUCGUAAAACACUGUUGUAAGAGAAGAAUGACAUUGAGAGUAACUGUUCAGUGUGUGACGGUAUCUUACCAGAAAGGAACGGCUAAAUACGUGCCAA